GUGGCUCACGUUUGAACACUGUCAGCACCAGCAGAAUUGCGUUGUCUAGACCAGCUGGACUCAGUGUCAGAGCCGAACAAGGGUCUUUUGACACCGAAACUAGCCGAAGAGCCGUUCUCAGUCAUGUUGCUGCUGGCCUAGCUGGAACCUUUGCUAAUGCAGCUUUUGCUGAAGCCAGAUCAAUCAAGGGUGUACCCCCUCCUCCUCUCUUCGGUGGAUUGCGUCCCCUGAAAAAUGCAAUUGAUUGGAGAUCUCUAUCUCCAAAUGUUUGGGGGUGAUAAAGCAGCAGCAAUCGUGAGUACUGGAUAUGAUUUUGGUGGAGGACGAUCACAAUAUCACCUUCGACAGAUGGGAGUCAGACUCGAUAUUCAUUUCAUUAACAAACCUUAAUUUUUUCCUCAAUGUAUUAGACCCACCACCAAUGUUUGAUGAUAAGGGCAAUCUGAUAGAUGAAGAAACCAAGAAGAGGCUCAAAGAAAUUCUUUUGGCUUUACAGGCAUUUGCCGUGAGACUCGGCGGCAAUUGCAAAUAGCUUCUUUCAAUCAAUGUGUGAAUUGAUCCCCUUCAACAUUUCCCUUUCAUAGGGAAAAAUAUAUCUAUAUCUAUAUAUCUAGAUAUAUAGAUAUAGAUAUAUUUUUCCCUAUGAAAGGGAAAUGUUGAAGGGGAUCAAUUCACACAUUGCUUCUAAUAAGACUUCCGUAACAUUUGGUCAGUUGAUUGGUCAUGUUAGCUAGUUUCAUGGCGAUUGGCCAUUGAUGUUAUAUCGAUGAAUAAAAUUUGUCUUGAAUAUAAGCUAUUUUAAGUUAAGUUAUUAUCAAACUUAAGUUUUCUCUCGAA